rnacentral:lncRNA from 1 species
GUUUCAUGUCCAGGCCUCCUAGAGUUCUGGAUCACAAGUGAUUUCAACCCUGGGCUUUUGUCCCCCCACCCUUCUUCCUUCUCAGCCCUGGAGAAAGCAGGCCAGAAGAAAAAGCAGGGGACAAAUGCAGUAUUGAAUUUGAGAAAACCAGGUAUUGGAUUACACUUCUCACGCUUCCCACAUACCACCAGAGCAUGGAUGACCUGACAACUCUACAGAGGACUCGGAUCUUUGGGGAGGGAGUUCCAGACCCUGAAAGCACCUAUUAAGAAGGUUGUCUCCCAUGUUUCUGCUAAAUGUUGCUGCGAGAAUUAUGGGACAGAGAGAGAAGAUCUAAAAACAACAACAGGUCCAUGUGAAUAUCUUCUCCAUAGAUGGAAAACCUGGCUAUCCUGCCCAGCACUAUUCAACAAGUGAGAUGCAAUUAGGAACCAGCAUUAGCAAUCUAUUGGCAAUCCUUUCAUGGCAAGAUUAAGAAGUAUUGUUUUAUUGAAGCAUUUAAAUCUGCAUAACCUUUCAGUCUGUCCUUUAAAAUCCAUCGGUGACCAAUCACAAA